AGUAGCGGCGAGCGAACGGGGAGGAGCCCAGAGCCUGAAUCAGCAUGUGUGUUAGUGGAAGCGUCUGGAAAGGCGCGCGAUACAGGGUGACAGCCCCGUACACAAAAGCGCAUGUGCUGUGAGCUCGAUGAGUAGGGCGGGACACGUGGUAUCCUGUCUGAAUAUGGGGGGACCAUCCUCCAAGGCUAAAUACUCCUGACUGACCGAUAGUGAACCAGUACCGUGAGGGAAAGGCGAAAAGAACCCCGGCGAGGGGAGUGAAAAAGAACCUGAAACCGUGUACGUACAAGCAGUGGGAGCACCCUUUGGGUGUGACUGCGUACCUUUUGUAUAAUGGGUCAGCGACUUAUAUUCUGUAGCAAGGUUAACCGAAUAGGGGAGC
rnacentral:rRNA from 1 species